GGUUGAAAUUUUGCAGGGUUGUUGAAAUCAAAUUUAGGGACUUUACUGACGGGACUCUGGGCUGGCUGCUCUGUUCACUCGUCAGCGCAAGUGGCGUGACCAUGUAAUUGGGGCACGGGGCCGGCGCGGCGCGCUGCGGGCUUGCAGAAUUUUGUUUGUUUGUUUGGCCGCGCGCUGGCGCAGCCACGGGCCGCAGUUACUGGGGCGCGCUGUCGUAACAAGCCGCGCGGUGUGGCCUGCACAUUGGGGUAGAGGGGGGGUAGUCUUCCCAGAUGUUCUAGUUAGUUGUUUAGUAAAUUUGACUUCAAUAACGAGCUUUUGUUAUGGUAGGCGCGGCAGGGCGCGCGAAUUUAAGCGCAAGUGAGUGGUGACUCGGGGCUCACUCAGGCGGAGGCUAUGCGUCUCACCUGUGGUCACGAGUUGUUAGUUCGUUCGUGAUGUAGGAAUUCAGGCUCACUCAGGCGGAGGCUAUGCGUCUCACCUGUGGUCACGAGUUGUUAGUUCGUUCGUGAUGUAGGAAUUCAAGCUUUCGGGCGGAAGCUAUGGCCGACGCCAGAGGCCACGAGUCGUUUAAUUUAAGUUAGGUCAUAAUGUAGUCAUCUUCAAGCUUUCGGGCGGAGGCAAUGGCCCUUGUCACUAGUCGUUUAGUUAUAAUUUUUUAAAAUGUAAUGUUCGUUCGGAUUUUAAGGGCAGGAGAGGCCCCUACGUUAGUUUUAAGUAAUCGAUCAAGAAAGGCUUUUCGGAAAAUGUGAGUAUGGACUUAUCUUUGUUUUAAUUUUAAGUAUUAAUUAUGAUUUGAGGUAUUCGGAAGGACUAGGGAAGUGUUUAGUGAAGUUCUCUCAUUCUCUCUCUUGUAAGGUCGUUCAAUCGUUAAGGAAGUAAAGAGAUUAUUGUUUUAAAUUGUAAUCCCGCUAUUUAAAUGUUCUUUAAAAUGAUGUUGAGUAUUUGACUUUAAGAAUAAAAUAAUUUUAAUUAAGUAUUAUGUUAUUUUGCAAAAUCUCCUUAGUUCAGCUCUCACCAGACAUCCUGUACGGGAUGACGAACCUAUGAUCCUAGGUACAGUAAAGUAUUUUAUGAAGUUAAGACUAGUUGAUGCCAAGCGAGUUGUUUCUAUGUAAAGAGCUACGAUUCUCGCUCUCUCCCCCCUCUGAAGGUGCACGUGACAGAAAUGGUAGAGUUCGCCGGAUAGGUUCUAUUUCUGGAGAGAGAGAGAGGUAGAUUUUUAUGUUUAUUAUUAAGUUAGUUUCAGCUUCUGAUAGCAGGUUAUUAAGAGUUUACUUGAGGAGAGGAUUACGGAAUUUUAGUCUAUAGUGGAGGAAGUCUUUGAGAUUUUUUUUUUGACGUAACAGAUGUUUAUUUGAGGAUACUUGUAAGGAUAAAGUUUAUAGUGAUAAGUUGUUUUAAGUCGUUGAAUUUAUUGUAGAUUUAUAUCGGGGAUUAUUACGUGAGGAGAAUACGUUAUAAGUUAAAUGAUUAAUAGAGAUAAUGCAAGUGGUUUAAUUUAAUUGAAAUUAAUUUUAAGAUUGUAGGUUAAGAGAGUUAAAAUUUAAAAUAAAGUUUUUUUCGUAAAUAGGAAUUAUUUUCAAGUGAAGUUUGUUUUGCUGUCGUGCGCGUAGGAGACGAGACGUACGAAUUAAAUCAGUCGAGGGAAGGAUAAACGUUAGAAAGGAAUUAAAGAGAAAACGAGAGUUUAUGUAAAAGAGAGUUAUAGAAUUUAUAGUGAUGUUUUGUUUUAAUUAGAAAAAUGUUGAGAGUUGUUUCAGAACGACACGUCAGUGGACGUGGCAGAAUGAACACGUGACGGGGAGGUGCUGAGACCUAGCGGAGAACGGAGGAACCGCAAGCGAGGGUUGGCGCACCUGAUGGAAUUCGGUGACGUCACGGGCUCAUACGGAGACGUGGACAGGCCGUGACCUUGUUUUGAUCAGCUGUACGGUAACUUAGCGAUAAGAAAAUAGACUAUUGGUUAAAUAAAUUUAAAUUUAAGUGUGUUUUAGGAGAAGAGGAACUUUCAGUAUAUUCCUUAAGAUGAGCUGAGCAGCAGUCCAGUUUACAAGAUGACAAGAGUUCGAGAGACAAGAUACAAGAUCACUGAAACAAGAGCCAAGACUGAAGAUUCAAGAGAAGAGAAAGCUGGCAGCCAUGGACUUACAAGUGGAGAUUAAUAAGGUCAUGUAAAGUUUUAUUUUUUUUUAUGGAAGACAGUAACUGGAGUUUUUUUUUGUUAUAAACAUUAUUUACAGAACUUUUUAGGUUAUAGUAAUGUAAUGGAACUAGUGAGUUGUGGUAGCUGUCAAAAAGAACUAAUACCUUAAGUUUAAUUUUUAAAGUUAAUUUUCUUAAUUUACAGAGGGAUUAGUAGUUUUUUUUAAAACCUUAUUUAGGUUGGAAUUUAAAUACAAUAGCUUAUUAUAAAUGUGUACGAACAGUUCAAGUUCACAGUACUGAUAGGUAGGUCAGAUGAUCUUAUUGAUUUUGAUGAUUUGUUGUUUUGAGUUGAUUUUUAAGUGUUGUGAAUUAGACAAUGAAAUAGUUCUGAAAACUUAAAUUAUUUCAAGCUAAGAAAUAGUAAAGUUAAUUGUAACUCAAAGGACACCAGAAUUUAAUUUUUUUUUGAAUUAGUAAUGUUUGAAAAUUUUAUACUUUACAAGAAAGGUUAUAAACAAACAGAUCGGAUGGAACAAGGAUGCAGUAAAUCACAAUUUCAUUUAGAAUUAUUGAUUAGCUUUUGAGGUUAUGAAGUAAAAGUAAUUAUAAUUUAAAAGUUUGAAUAAAAAAAUGUUUUUUUUAUUUGUUUGAAAUAGAAAAUUUAAAAGUUAAUUAGUCAUGAUCUAGGUGGGUGAUGGGGUGGGAAUUGGCCACUCUUUUUCCCUAUAACCUCCCUAACAUGGCCUUCUAUUACAACUAACAGAAAUAAAGAAGAAGAAAAAUGAAGAAUUAUUAGUUAGAAUGUUUCUUUCAUGAAGAUACCUGAUGAACUUUUACUGUUUGGAAGAAUAGAAGCAAGGUUAGUCAGAUAUUUUUACUCAGAAGAAGAAGAAGAUAAAGCAGUUUUAUGACUCGACAAGCCAGAGAUUGGUGUUUCCCCUCUGCGCUUCUAUUGACUACGUUGUUUACUCUCAUGGGAUAGCUGGUUCGGCACCAUGGAGAGAGAUUGGUGGGCAUUGUGGUUGCCCCCAGAAGAAAAGAAGAGUAGAAGAGGUUAUGGGUGGGUCAUGUGAACUGACCUUCAACCCAGUUACUUCGUGGGGACUAUUUGCUGUAUAGAGAAGAUCAAGACUCAAGAGUUAGGGAAAAUCAUUGGAGGUCAUGUUUCCCUUCCUUAAGUUUUUCCUAUCAAAUUAUUUGCCUGAUUAGAUUAUGCUAAGGGUGGGAUACUUUAUGUUAGCAGUUGAAUUAAUUAAUUUUAUUUUUUUGUGUGUUUGCAUCCUUGCCCAUCGAUUGCAGUUUAGUAGUUAGUUUUGUAUUUGUCAGGCGUGAUGGUAAUGCCUGUUGAUGAUGUUUCAGAAUUGUAAUCUGUUCGUGAUGAGGAUGGCACAACUCCGAAGCAGAUGUGGGGAGAAGUUGUGAGCUGCCCUGGAAGCCAGUCCAGUAGCUGUUGGAGUUGAGUGGUGUUUGCUGAUGGCCAGCCCAGGGAGCUACUCUUCUCGACAACACUGACUUCGAGGAGUUGCACCAACCUUCACGAGAUAAGAGUUUAAUUAAUUGAAACAUUGUAAGGACACUUAAUUUUUUUUGAAGAACGAAAGAAGUAUGGUAAUAAACGGAAACUGAAAAAAAAAAAAA